ACUCAAACCUGCAGCAGGUUCGAGUUGAGCGCAGCGAAACAACGGAGCCGCUCGCGGCGACGGCCCGAAGGGCGAGCGAAGCGAGUCAUCCUGCACGACCCACCA
rnacentral:sRNA from 1 species